rnacentral:rRNA from 1 species
AUUGAACGCUGGCGGCAGGCCUAACACAUGCAAGUCGAACGAGUGGCGGACGGGUGAGUAAUGUCUGGGAAACUGCCUGAUGGAGGGGGAUAACUUCUGGAAACGGUAGCUAAUACCGCAUACCAUCAGAUGUGUCCUGAUGGGAGUAGUUUGUUGGUGGGGUAACGGCUCACCAAGGCGACGAUACCUAGCUGGUCUGAGAGGAUGACCAGCCACACUGGAACUGAGACACGGUCCAGACUCCUACGGGAGGCAGCAGUUGGGAAUCUUGCACAAUGGACGCAAGCCUGAUGCAGCCAUGCCGCGUGUAUGAAGAAGGCCUUCGGGUUGUAAAGUACUUUCAGCGGGGAGGCGUUACCCGCAGAAGAAGCACCGGCUAACUCCGUGCCAGCAGCCGCGGUAAUUC